rnacentral:rRNA from 1 species
AUGAUGAAACCUGGCCUCAACUUUCCAUUCAUCAACCGCCGUUUUCUCAAACAUUUCGCGCAUUCGCCUAUCAGGGUGUGCUCGAUCUUUAUUACCAUUCUAGAAAGAGAGUUGUCUGUGCUUUCUGAACUUCAAAUAAAAGGAGAUACUCGUUGUCUGUUUUGCUCCUCAUGUUUGGUGUCUGUCUACUUGUCAGAAAUUCCCUUUUUUUUUCUAUCUUCCUGGAAUACACCAAGCGGUGUAUCAUCAUGCAUUCAAAGGAGAAAGCCAUGCAGGUUGUUGGCUUGGUGGUUCAGCCCCCCCAAACUGGCCCAGGAAUCUGAUCCUGCCCAAACAUUCUGCGGGUUGUGA